GAUGAACGCUGGCGGCAGGCCUAAUACAUGCAAGUCGAGCGAACACACGAUGAGCGCUCGCUUCUGACGGUAGCGGCUGGCGGGCGGGUAAGACAUGCAUAAGCAACCUAUAAUUCUGGGGGAACUACGGGAGACCGGAUCUGAUACCGGAUAAUAUAUCGAACCGCAUGGUUCAAUAGUGAAAGACACUUUUGCUGUCACUAAUAGAUGGUUCCGCGCCGCAUUAGCUAGUUGGUAAGGUAACGGCUUACCAAGGCAACGAUGCGUAGCCGACCUGAGAGGAUGAUCGGCCACACUGGAACUGAGACACGGUCCAGACUCCUACGGGAGGCAGCAGUGGGGAAUCUUCGACAAUGGGCGAAAGCCUGAUCGAGCCACGCCGCGUGGGUGAUGAAGGUCUUCGGAUCGUAAAGCUCUGUUGUUAGGAAAGAACAACAGUGGAAGUAACCACGACCGUUUUGACGGUACCUAAAGAGUAAGCAACGGCUAACUACGUG
rnacentral:rRNA from 1 species